rnacentral:rRNA from 1 species
GAUGAACGCUGGCGGCGUGCCUAAUACAUGCAAGUCGAGCGAACGGACGAGAAGCUUGCUGCUCUGAUGUUAGCGGCGGACGGGUGAGUAACACGUGGAUAACCUACCUAUAAGACUGGGAUAACUUCGGGAAACCGGAGCUAAUACCGGAUGAUAUUUUGAACCGCAUGGUUCAAAAGUGAAAGACGGUCUUGCUGUCACUUAUAGAUGGAUCCGCGCUGCAUUAGCUAGUUGGUAAGGUAACGGCUUACCAAGGCAACGAUGCAUAGCCGACCUGAGAGGGUGAUCGGCCACACUGGAACUGGGACACGGUCCAGACUCCUACGGGAGGCAGCAGUAGGGAAUCUUCCGCAAUGGGCGAAAGCCUGACGGAGCAACGCCGCGUGAGUGAUGAAGGUCUUCGGAUCGUAAAACUCUGUUAUUAGGGAAGAACAUAUGUGUAAGUAACUGUGCACAUCUUGACGGUACCUAAUCAGAAAGCCACGGCUAACUACGUG